AAAGCAGUUGAAUCUUAUCUUACAAAGUUUAUAGUGUGAGAAUACUGAGGGCCCAGUUGCUCAGUUGACCAAUUAAGUUUCUUUCUCUUUUCUCACCCUACCCAACUGCCGGCAGGCAAUUAAUGAGGAAUGACCUGGUCAAAAGACAAGAAGAGGACUUUGAGGAGAGGCAAAGUCCUGGAUAAAGAAAACUACAGGGAGUUCCCAUCAUCACUCAGAGGAUGCCAAGGAUAUUUCAUAAGCAAACUGACAUAAUUCAACUUCCUUUGGAUGGAUCCCAACAUUCUAGAACUUCUGUUUGGACCAAGUAAUUUACCAUGAGCGGAUUCAUCCUAACAUAUGGCUAUUCAAGUGUAAGAGAGUGUAAUAAGAGG
rnacentral:lncRNA from 1 species